AUUUGGCUUCCAUCCAGGACUCCAUCAGAUCCUCAGGGAUGUAGGCGGUCAUACCCCCUUCAUGGAAGGGUGCCUUGCCUCAUUUGUCUGCUAGAGUCAUCUCAGUACCCACUUCAGGCUCUGGGAUUCCACACAUGCAAAUGGUGGCUGUGGUGGGGGUGGGGUGGGAAGGACUUGGAGGUGUCUCUCUCUCAUGGGCUGUACUUCUCUCUGGCUGGCCCUCGGAGGUGGUAAGCCUCAAGUGGAUGGAGAAGCUUGUUGCUUUUGUAGGCAGACACUUCCAUGUAGAAACUCAGCAUGACUCUCUUUAGACUGUGCCGGUGGCAAGCAGGUUAGAGCCUGUGUUCCUGCUACUGAGCCAGAAGGCAUGGCUUCUGGGGCAAAGGCUGUGUCUGGAAAGGGGGCUCUGCCCCUGCUCACACAUGGUGCUGAGCACACCCUCAUUGAGGGAGACAGUGGCCGUGAGUUUGGGGAAGUCACUGUGAGGACCUUUGUUAACAGGACACAAGAUGACUACUCCUAUGCUGAUCCUGGGAGCCUACUUAUGUGAACUGACUGCGGCUAUUUCAAGGAAGAACAGGGCUCUCCCUCCCUCCCUCCCUCCCUCCCUCCCUCCCU
rnacentral:lncRNA from 1 species